rnacentral:rRNA from 1 species
UACGGAGGGUGCAAGCGUUGUCCGGAAUCAUUGGGCGUAAAGCGCACGUAGGCGGCUCUUUAAGUCUCUUGGUGAAAGGCUGGGGCUCAACCCCAUGCAUGCCGGGGAUACUGGGGAGCUGGAGACAGGUAGAGGCCAGCGGAAUUCCGGGUGUAGCGGUGGAAUGCGUAGAGAUCCGGAAGAACACCGGGGGCGAAGGCGGCUGGCUGGACCUGAUCUGACGCUGAGGUGCGAAAGCGUGGGGAGCGAACAGG